UCAGCUCGUGUCGUGAGAUGUGGUUAAGUCCGCAACGAGCGCAACCCUUAUUGCCAGUUACCAUCAUUUAGUUGGGGACUCUGGCGAGACUGCCGUGGAUAACACGGAGGAAGGUGGGGACGACGUCAAAUCAUCAUGCCCCUUAUGUCCUGGGCUACACACGUACUACAAUGGCAACAACAACGAGCAGCAAGUCCGCGAGGCCAAGCGAAUCUCCAAAUGUUGCCCAGUUCAGAUUGCAGGCUGCAACUCGCCUGCAUGAAGUCGGAAUUGCUAGUAAUGGCAGGUCAGCAUACUGCCGUGAAUACGUUCCCGGGCCUU
rnacentral:rRNA from 1 species